rnacentral:tRNA from 1 species
AGUACUGUAAGCUAACAAAGCUCCUGGGCCCAUACCCCAGACAUGGAGGUUAAAUCCCUCCCCUUACUA